AGUGAGCAUGAUUCCACCAAUGCUUAACAACAUCUUUUCCGUGUCUGUGGUUAAUUGAACUUUUUUGUUAUGUCUCGAGUUUAUGAUCAUUGAACACCUCCCCCUCCGUCCUUCCUGGGAAAAAAAAAGAACAAAGAAAAAAGAAAAAAGAAAGUAUGGUUGGUUGUGCAUUUAAGCGAUUAUAUAAGCUAUGACUACUAGGGAAUGUGUGGGUGAUAAGUGAUCAGUAGUUGUGGGUCCUACGAAAUAUGUGGAUAAGAAGUAUAUUUGACCAUUUUAAAUUAUAUUUAAGCUUUACCAAACAUACAUUUGGCUUUCAGGCAGUGGUUUUUCAUGGUGUCUAAAGAAUGACCCUUUUUUUCUGCUGCUGUUGACGGAAUAAGUUUGUUCCUCUGUCCCUACAUCUGACUUAAGCGUUACAAAUUUGCCCAUUUUGGUGAAAGAAAUUAGCUGGGAAAGAUCUCCAUAUUAACGAGCCCCGCUCCCAAAGAGGGAAAAAAAAAAAUGUAAGAAAAACUCAACGAAGAUAUUUAGCCCACAAGACCACUGCAAUAUGGGAACACUGAUGUUGCAGAUAUGGGAAAGUUUACCCUGCACGAACUUUCCUUGAAUUUGGUACAUAUUUGAUGUUCUUGUCUUUACACUAGUAAAGCUUUUGGAUGUGAGCUUAUGGGACAAUGGGAUGGAUACCUUUUAACUAGUCUUAGAGCAUUUUUAGCCAAGUUUAAGUAAAGGCUUACUUUUAAAAGAGCAAGUCUUUGAACUACAAUACCACAAAAAACUAAACUGAAGACUUGUUUUGAUGGGCAAAGAAUGAAGAAAUGCCUUGGAGAGGGGUAUGAACGGUGGAAUUCCAUUUGGCUUUAACCUUAAUUUCCAAUAAAAGAGGCCUUAAAAUUUUAUUUGGAGGUGCUUAUAAGCACUGUAAUGGAUUAUAUCUUAGAAGUUAUUUUGAAGUGCUAGACAAUUCUUAAACAUGGCUUGUAAGGAAUUGUUCGGUUAAGCUUAGAAGUAAUUACUUCCAAGUCAUUUGAAAGUGUGACAAAUCUAAAAUUGCUUGUAAGGG
rnacentral:lncRNA from 1 species